ACUUUAGUUUGACAUUGUGAAGAAUGAUGAGAGGUGUAGUAUACGUAAAAGAUUGUAUCGAACGCCGAUUAAACAGCACCACUUUCAUCGAUCCUUUAGUUAGUCGGUGAAAACAGAAUUGAGUUUCGACUCAUUUUUUGGCGUAAGUAGUGCCACACGGUGGCAUUACGACUCUUGCUAAAGACAUUGUGAGGCGAGGACUUUGAUUGAGGAGGUACAUCUGUCAAACUGUAAAGUAGGUGUAUUAGGGCUAGCUCAGAGAGGACAGAAACUUCUCGUUGAGCAAAAAAGCAAAAGUAUGCUUUACUCUGAUAGAGUUUCGCUUAUCUCAGGGUUAUAAACUGAAACGUGACCAAAUGACGAUGCAAACGUUUUCUGCCGACGUUUCA
rnacentral:ncRNA from 1 species